rnacentral:rRNA from 1 species
AAACGUAGGAGACGAGCGUUAUCCGGAUUUACUGGGCGUAAAGCGCGUGUAGGAGGCAAUACAAGUUGGAUGUAAAAUCUCCCGGCUUAACUGGGAGGCGUCGUUCAAGACUGUAUAGCUAGAGUAGCGAAGAGGUAAUCGGAACUCCGGGAGUAGCGGUGAAAUGCGUAGAUAUCCGGAAGAACACCAGAGGCGAAAGCGGAUUACUGGUCGCAAACUGACACUGAGACGCGAAAGCCAGGGUAGCAAACGGGAUUAGAGACCCCGGUAGUCCUGGCCGUAAACGAUGUAGACUCGUCGUUUGGAGGGUAAAACCUCUGAGUGACUAAGCAAACGCGAUAAGUCUACCGCCUGGGGAGUACGGUCGCAAGAUUAAAACUCAAAUGAAUUGACGGGG